ACAAGCUUCCACCUUACCUUUUGAACCCUCAAAAUGCUUUCCACCUUCUUGAAGAUCCUUGAUGCAACUACACUAGGAUUUUUAGGUUGUUCCACAUGAUUCAAAAUAACGUCUUCAUCCUAAAGUGUGCCUUUAUAUCCUUAUGAAUAUUCUUUUUCUUUCCACUAGAGCAUAACACACAAGGAUUUCAUAGUUGUACCAUUUAAGUACCAUCGACUUGUCUCCCC
rnacentral:lncRNA from 1 species